rnacentral:rRNA from 1 species
GAUGAACGCUGGCGGCGUGCCUAACACAUGCAAGUCGAGCGAUCUUCUUCGGAAGAGAGCGGCGGACGGGUGAGUAACGCGUGGGUAACCUGCCCUGUACACACGGAUAACAUACCGAAAGGUAUGCUAAUACGGGAUGACAUAUGAAAGUCGCAUGGCUUUUAUAUCAAAGCUCCGGCGGUACAGGAUGGACCCGCGUCUGAUUAGCUAGUUGGUAAGGUAAUGGCUUACCAAGGCGACGAUCAGUAGCCGACCUGAGAGGGUGAUCGGCCACACUGGAACUGAGACACGGUCCAGACUCCUACGGGAGGCAGCAGUGGGGAAUAUUGCACAAUGGGCGAAAGCCUGAUGCAGCAACGCCGCGUGAGCGAUGAAGGCCUUCGGGUUCGUAAAGCUCUGUCCUCAAGGAAGAUAAUGACGGUACUUGAGGAGGAAGCCCCGGCUAACUACGUGCCAGCAGCCGCGGUAAUACGUAGGGGGCUAGCGUUAUCCGGGAAUUACUGGGCGUAAAGGGUGCGUAGGCGGUCUUUCAAGCCAGAAGUGAAAGGCUACGGCUCAACCGUAGUAAGCUUUUGGAACUGUAGGACUUGAGUGCAGGAGAGGAGAGUAGAAUUCCUAGUGUAGCGGUGAAAUGCGUAGAUAUUAGGAGGAAUACCAGUAGCGAAGGCGGCUCUCUGGACUGUAACUGACGCUGAGGCACGAAAGCGUGGGGAGCAAACAGGAUUAGAUACCCUGGUAGUCCACGCCGUAAACGAUGAGUACUAGGUGUCGGGGGUUACCCCCCUCGGUGCCGCAGCUAACGCAUUAAGUACUCCGCCUGGGAAGUACGCUCGCAGGAGUGAAACUCAAAGGAAUUGACGGGGACCCGCACAAGUAGCGGAGCAUGUGGUUUAAUUCGAAGCAACGCGAAGAACCUUACCUAAGCUUGACAUCCCACUGACCUCUCCCUAAUCGGAGAUUUCCCUUCGGGGACAGUGGUGACAGGUGGUGCAUGGUUGUCGUCAGCUCGUGUCGUGAGAUGUUGGGUUAAGUCCCGCAACGAGCGCAACCCUUGCCUUUAGUUGCCAGCAUUAAGUUGGGCACUCUAGAGGGACUGCCGAGGAUAACUCGGAGGAAGGUGGGGAUGACGUCAAAUCAUCAUGCCCCUUAUGCUUAGGGCUACACACGUGCUACAAUGGGUGGUACAGAGGGUUGCCAAGCCGCGAGGUGGAGCUAAUCCCUUAAAGCCAUUCUCAGUUCGGAUUGUAGGCUGAAACUCGCCUACAUGAAGCUGGAGUUACUAGUAAUCGCAGAUCAGAAUGCUGCGGUGAAUGCGUUCCCGGGUCU